GCCGAAAUAGGUCAAUUGGGAGAGCCUUAGGCUAUAGAUCGAAAUGUCCCUGGUUCAAUCCCGGGAUUCGGCA
rnacentral:tRNA from 1 species